rnacentral:piRNA from 1 species
UAGUCUCUAAAUAAGGGACUAUGGUUC